GAGGGUAUAGCUCAAUGGUAGAGAAUAUGCUUAGCAUGCACAAGGUCUUGGGUUCAAACCCUGGUUCCUCCA
rnacentral:tRNA from 1 species